AUUGAACGCUGGCGGAAUGCUUUACACAUGCAAGUCGAACGGCAGCACGGACUUCGGUCUGGUGGCGAGUGGCGAACGGGUGAGUAAUGUAUCGGAACGUGCCCAGUCGUGGGGGAUAACGUAGUGAAAAUUACGCUAAUACCGCAUACGAUCUAUGGAUGAAAGCGGGGGAUCGCAAGACCUCGCGCGAUUGGAGCGGCCGAUAUCAGAUUAGGUAGUUGGUGGGGUAAAGGCCCACCAAGCCAACGAUCUGUAGCUGGUCUGAGAGGACGACCAGCCACACUGGAACUGGGACACGGUCCAGACUCCUACGGGAGGCAGCAGUGGGGAAUUUUGGACAAUGGGCGAAAGCCUGAGCCAGCCAUUCCGCGUGCAGGAUGAAGGCCCUCGGGUUGUAAACUGCUUUUGUACAGAACGAAAAGGUUUCUACUAAUACUAGGGGCUCAUGACGGUACUGUAAGAAUAAGCACCGGCUAACUACGUGCCAGCCGCCGCCGUAA
rnacentral:rRNA from 1 species